rnacentral:sRNA from 1 species
AAAAAAGAAGCAAAAU